rnacentral:tRNA from 1 species
GGCCCCGUAGCAUAACCUGGAUAGUGCGGUCGGCUUCGGACCGAUUGAUGGGGGUUCGAAUCCCUCCGGGGUCA